AUUGAACGCUGGCGGCGUGCUUAACACAUGCAAGUCGAGCGGUAACAGGCGUAGCAAUACGUGCUGACGAGCGGCGAACGGGUGAGUAAUGCUUCGGAAUCUGCCCAGUAGUGGGGAAUAACCUGGGGAAACCUUGGCUAAUACCGCAUACGUUCUCCGGGUCGAUUGACCUGGGGAGGAAAGCUCCUCUAAAGGGAGCGUGCGUGGAGGGGCUCGCGGCGUAUCAGCUAGCUGGUGGGGUAACGGCUCACCAGGGCGACGACGCGUAGCCGAUCUGAGAGGAUGAUCGGCCACAUUGGGACUGAGAUACGGCCCAGACUCCUACGGGAGGCAGCAGUGGGGAAUCUUGCGCAAUGGGCGAAAGCCUGACGCAGCGACGCCGCGUGCGGGAGGAAGCUCUUCGGGGUGUAAACCGCUGUCGAGGGGGGAAGGAACGGGCGGCGGGA
rnacentral:rRNA from 1 species